rnacentral:rRNA from 1 species
GAUGAACGCUGGCGGCGUGCCUAAUACAUGCAAGUCGAGCGAACAGACGAGGAGCUUGCUCCUCUGACGUUAGCGGCGGACGGGUGAGUAACACGUGGAUAACCUACCUAUAAGACUGGGAUAACUUCGGGAAACCGGAGCUAAUACCGGAUAAUAUAUUGAACCGCAUGGUUCAAUAGUGAAAGACGGUUUUGCUGUCACUUAUAGAUGGAUCCGCGCCGCAUUAGCUAGUUGGUAAGGUAACGGCUUACCAAGGCAACGAUGCGUAGCCGACCUGAGAGGGUGAUCGGCCACCCUGGACCUGAGACCCGGUCCAGACUCCUACGGGAGGCAGCAGUGGGGACUCUUCCGAAAUGGGCGAAAGCCUGACGGAGCAACGCCGCGUGAGUGAUGAAGGUCUUCGGAUCGUAAAACUCUGUUAUUAGGGAAGAACAAAUGUGUAAGUAACUAUGCACGUCUGGACGGUACCUAAGCAGAAAGCCACGGCUAACUACGU